rnacentral:lncRNA from 1 species
CCAAGCCUACCACUAACCCAUGUCCCCAUGUGCCACAUCUACAUGUCUUUUAAAUCCCUCCAGGGAUGGUGACUCCACCACUGCUCUGGGCAGCCCGUGCCAGGGAUGGACAACCCUUUGGAUGAAGAAAUUUUCCUCAUAUCCAAUCUAAGCCUCCAUUGGUUCAACUUGAGGCCGUUUUCUUUUGUCCUGUUGCUUGUUUCCUGGGAGAAGAGACUGUUUGACUGUUUACACACACACAUGCAGGGACAGAUGGGCAAAUGGCUUGGGAAGUCCCUGUGAUUCGUGGUACAGAAACUCCUGUGCAUGGUCCUUUUUGUUACACAGUGGUGAGGACAGCAGGUGGGAGCUUUCCAAGCCAGACAAAGGAGACCUGACAAGGAACUGUGGUGAAGGGACAAGCCCAAGGCAAAGAAGUGUCUGGUCACCACCUCUCCCGGAACAGGCAGCUGAGACCUGGAGAGACAGGAGACAUCUUGCAAGACUCAACACCUGGAGCAGUGCUAACCAGGCUGCACUGCCCCAGGCAGAGUGUUGUUUGCCAACACUUCCAACCACGGGAGAGCCCGGAGCUGUGCCAUAACAUUCCCCUGCUGCUCCCCCUGCUCCAGGUGGGCAGCCCUGAUGUCAGCCAAGCUCUAUGUCCUCAUCAGCUGGCCCGACGGCAGCCGGGUGAUCAACAUGGAGAACAUCAAGGAGCCCCGCAAGCCCUUCCACCUCUACACGGUGGGUGAGCAGGUGCUGGCCCGCUGCCCCGGCUUCAGUGGGCUCUACUGGGGCAUGGUGGAAGGCAUAAGUGAGCACAAGGAUAUUUUAGAGAAGAAGCUGCUGGAAGACAGGCAGCUCCUGGAGAAGUUAAAAGCAGAACCGGCUGUCCACAGCAUGAUGCCAUCCCCACCAAAAAAAUCCAGGAAAACCUUCCCAAAAUGGACCCCGGGGAAUGCAUCCAGGAAAUACCACGGUGACAGGGCCUACCCUGCAAAGCCACUGCUGAGGGCAGGCGAGGACAGCCUGCCCCAUGACGCUGGCAGCUCCUCCAUCCUCAAGGAGAAACGUGUCCUGGGCGCUGCAGCAGGAAGCCCCUGCUCACUGGCAGGUCCUCCCCACCCAGCCAGCGCCUUCACUCCUCCAUCCACCUUCAUCACCAUGGCCAUGCCGGGGCCAGGGACUUCCCAGGGUGAAGAGGAGAGGGCUGGUCCAGCUACCAGAGGUAACCUUGGGUUCUUGCUCUCCUGCCUGGUCCUGAGCGGCACAGUGGGAUGGGGACCUGCAGAGCAGCC